UACGAAGGGGGCUAGCGUUGCUCGGAAUCACUGGGCGUAAAGCGCACGUAGGCGGAUUGUUAAGUCAGGGGUGAAAUCCUGGAGCUCAACUCCAGAACUGCCUUUGAUACUGGCGAUCUUGAGUCCGGGAGAGGUGAGUGGAACUGCGAGUGUAGAGGUGAAAUUCGUAGAUAUUCACAAGAACACCAGUGGCGAAGGCGGCUCACUGGCCCGGUACUGACGCUGAGGUGCGAAAGCGUGGGGAGCAAACAGG
rnacentral:rRNA from 1 species